UUUAUGGAGAGUUUGAUCCUGGCUCAGAGUGAACGCUGGCGGCGUGCCUAAUACAUGCAAGUCGAACGAUGAAGCUUCUAGCUUGCUAGAAGUGGAUUAGUGGCGCACGGGUGAGUAAGGUAUAGUUAAUCUGCCCUACACAAGAGGACAACAGUUGGAAACGACUGCUAAUACUCUAUACUCCU
rnacentral:rRNA from 2 species